GACGAACGCUGGCGGCGUGCCUAAUACAUGCAAGUCGAGCGGACCGAACGAGGGCUUGCUCUUGUUUGGUCAGCGGCGGACGGGUGAGUAACACGUGGGCAACCUGCCCGCAAGACCGGGAUAACUCCGGGAAACCGGAGCUAAUACCGGAUAACACCGAAGACCGCAUGGUCUUCGGUUGAAAGGCGGCCUUUGGGCUGUCACUUGCGGAUGGGACCGGGGCGCAUUAGCUAGUUGGUGAGGUAACGGCUCACCAAGGCGACGAUGCGUAGCCGGCCUGAGAGGGUGAACGGCCACACUGGGACUGAGACACGGCCCAGACUCCUACGGGAGGCAGCAGUAGGGAAUCUUCCGCAAUGGGCGAAAGCCUGACGGAGCGACGCCGCGUGAGCGAAGAAGGCCUUCGGGUCGUAAAGCUCUGUUGUGAGGGACGAAGGAGCGCCGUUCGAAGAGGGCGGCGCGGUGACGGUACCUCACGAGAAAGCCCCGGCUAACUACGUGCCAGCCGCCGCCGUAA
rnacentral:rRNA from 1 species